rnacentral:rRNA from 1 species
AUUGAACGCUGGCGGCAUGCCUUACACAUGCAAGUCGAACGGCAGCACGGGUGCUUGCACCUGGUGGCGAGUGGCGAACGGGUGAGUAAUACAUCGGAACGUACCUUAUCGUGGGGGAUAACGCAGCGAAAGCUGUGCUAAUACCGCAUACGCCCUGAGGGGGAAAGCGGGGGAUCGCAAGACCUCGCGCGAUUAGAGCGGCCGAUGCCUGAUUAGCUAGUUGGUGGGGUAAAAGCCCACCAAGGCGACGAUCAGUAGCUGGUCUGAGAGGACGAGCAGCCACACUGGGACGGAGACACGGCCCAGACUCCUACGGGAGGCAGCAGUGGGGAAUUUUGGACAAUGGGUGCAACCCUGAUCCAGCAAUGCCGCGUGAGUGAAGAAGGCCUUCGGGUUGUAAAGCUCUUUUGUCAGGGAAGAAACACCGGCUCUAACACAGUCCGGGAAUGACGGUACCUGAAGAAUAAGCACCGGCUAACUACGUGCCAGCCGCCGCCGUAA